rnacentral:lncRNA from 8 species
CAGAAAAUGAAUGGUGAAGUCCAUUCUGGACAUUGUACACUCCUCCUCCUCACCACUCUCUCAUCAGCCUGUGAGGCAGCAUUCAUUUGAUUGGCUGGGAAAGAAUGGGCGGAGUUGGUUAAACAUCAGCCUGUGAGGCAGCAGUGGCGCAAACAUCAGCCUGUGAGGCAGCUGUUCUUCACAGACACCAAAGUCACUUGCGCGACCAACACCAGAGAUAUUAGAAAAGUAUCAAUGCCAGCACCCUCCUUAUUAGGUUUCCCAUGACGCAAUGAGUAUCUGUCAUGGCUGCACACUGAUGUCACUCACAGCACAUGGGUUGAAAUUCACAAAUGUAUACCAUUGAGUUGAAAUAACCUACAUUACAGUAAGGGUAUAUAUUGUCAAUUUACAAUUAUGCCGAUCCCGGUUGGAAACAGUAUUGACUCAUUGUAAGACUGCUGCAAAUCACAUUUUGGGAUGUUGCGGGACGCUGAGAUUCCCGUGCUCCGGGGUUUUCUGAAACCAAGCGGCGAGGCAACUGAAUGGAAGCAGAAUGUUUUCAGCGCUGCAGGGAGAUUGCUCUGUUGGCCCUGGCGAUCGCCAGCAUCUUUGGACAUCGCCAGCAUCUCUGGACAUCUUUGUCCAGAGUAACUGGACGGGUCCCCCUGUCACCAUCCAUGUCCCUCUGUCACCAUCCAUGUCCCUGACCUGCUGCCCCCGGCCCUGCUAUCCUCACUCACUGAGGUACAGUUACACCCCUAUCUGUUUUCUCUCCACACACACACUGCUUUUUCAAAUGUAUCCAUAGCCCCCCCCCCCCUCCCCAGGUCUAACCUAAAGGAGCUCGACCUUUUAGACUAUUCUAUUUCCCUAACAAGACAUUUCCAGACCAGACGUUUUAGAAGGUGAUUUUGGACACAAGGAGUGUGUGUGUGGCAGCACUGGGAUGUGAUUCUGACAGUGUGAUGAAUGGUGAGGACCGAGGGGGACAGGCCCUAGUAAUUAACCUUCUCUUGUGUCCCAAUAAUGCGGGGGUGAGGAUAGGGCUGGGCGGUAUAUCGUAUUUUACUAUAUACCUGUAUUUUGGUUGGUUUGGGUUUUUACUUUACCUUCUAUCAGGGGCGGAAAUCCCGGGGGGGACGGGGGGGACACGACCCCCCCAUCCUGGGAAAAAUAUGAUUUGUCCCCCCCAAUAUAUCACUGAAACAUAACUAUGUAAUUUAAAUAAUAUUAAUAAUACGCAAUGAAAGCAAGUGUGCUGAUUAUAGACACUUAAUAGCCACUGCCAGUUCCUUAUUUGGCAAGGUAACAGAGGGGUCGUAUCCACUGUCUGAAAGGCACUCAAUGAACGUAACUGACGUGAGGUUAAUCCAGUCAAUCGCGCACACACACUAGCUGAAUAUGCAGAGCUAGCGGGCAAAUAUUAACUAUUAAGCUAGCUAGUACCUAUUCCAUUUAUGUGGCCUCGUCAAAGAUGGAAUCUUUGCUAUCGUCAAUUUAUUCCAAGAUCAGCAUGCAAAUGAUGUAAGUUAGUGCUUCAAAGUCCCUGUGAUAAGGUUAGCGAUAAACUGAAGUCCAAACUGAACAGAACUACACUCUCUUCUACCAUUGUCUCUUCUACCAAUAUAUUUAAUGGUCUCGUUGCAAAAGCUAAAUUGUCGCAAGGGAACUUUUAUUUAUUUAUUUUAUUUCACCUUUAUUUAACCCGGGUAGCAACGAUUAUAGCAAACACCACUGAAACAGAAUUGGUGGAAGCCAGCCAAUAUGAAACAAACUAUUAAAAUUACAAAAGGUUGCAGUAUAUGUUGUGUAAAUGGUGAACUCAUACAGCUGUCAACUCUUGUCAUUUUAAUCCGUUUCACAUUUGCUAGAUACCUUUUAGAUCGAAGCCCAAAUAGAAUGAUAAAAGAUAAGAUGAUAGAAGCCCAUCUCCUACUGUAAAUAACCUACACACUGUGUGUGUGUGUGUAGCCAGCCAGCCAGGUAGAAAAAUGGCAGAAAAAUAAAAGACGGACAUCAGAGUAUUUUUCAGUACACCAAAACGCAAAGUAAGAACCCUAGUAGCCUAAUAUCUCAAAGACUAGUUGAUAAAAUGUUCAUAAGAAAGAAAUGAAAUUCUAAUGGAAAUGUUUCACAAUGAUGUCAUUAGGCAGAGCAGGCAACAGAUGGCACACAGACAGCAGAGUUGGGGACAGAUAUGCAGGGACAGACUGGCAGAGACAGGGAGUCUCAGGUAAGUUUGUUGAGUCUUUGUUUGGCAACAUUAUGAAAGGUUCUCCAUUUUGUUGACUUGUAAAAUAGGAACAUAAUUGGAAAAUGCCAUGGAUACCCCCACUCUCAACUUAAACUGGUGACUGAACUAAGAUUUGUUAAAGGCAAUGGUAUUGCUGUUGUGAUUAGUUGUGUAGUUUUGGGUACCGGUAGUUAGGAGUACGGCAAACACCUUAUUUCUUUGGUUCCUCAAUAUACAUUUACCAUAUUACAAUGUAGGCUAUGUGUUACAGCACUACUUUUGGUGUCCCCCUCAGGAAUUGCUCUUGAGAAAAUGUCAUGUAAUUGUCCCCUCAAGUUGAUAUCAGAUUUUCGCCCCUGCCUUCUAUAACUGUAUUUUAAUGUUUGGCUUGUUAAAUGUGAUACGCCGUGUUUAACGUCAAUUUUUAUUGUUUACUCCGACACUUGAGUCAUCCCUCUCUCUCUCUCUCCAUGCCGCUUUCCACACAGACCUAGUCCCACACCCCCUGUCACUCAAGGUGCGCAUUUGUUGUUGCUUGACCACGACUUGCGUUCAGUCUGCAUGGUCAAUGCAGCACAUGCAACAAUGUUGAUGACAACGAUGUUGUUUCCACUUUGAUCUUAAUAUUAAUCCACAAGCGUUCUAUAAUUACAAUAUUAAUUAGUGUUUCUUACAUCUUCAAACAGCUCGUUUGUAUUUUCUUAGCAAGUUAAUCUGUCGUGUUAGCCACUAAUGCUAAUCGCUAGCUAACUAGCUAUUAAAAGUCUGAGUCAGAGCAAAUGUAGCUAGCUAAUACAGCCUGAUACCAGCACUGGUGGAGGCUAAAAUCAGCAUGCUGUUUGUGCAACAGUAGCUUCUAAAUCAAAGAGGAAUAGAUGAAGCAUGAAUAUGUUGGCUAUAUGAAUAAAGAUUUAAUUUUGCCAAAGAUUAUAGGGUGCCCUAGGAAACAUUGAACGUCACUUUAGUUCUUACCCUGUCACAAUAACUUGUCCAUGGUAUUUUUCAUUCAUUGUCAUGUCAAACAACACUGUAUUCAAAGUGCCCACUAUUAUUUAUAUUCUAACUAUAGAAUUAUAAUAAACAUUCUAUUUCCAUGAUUCCAAAAGUUCACCCAAGUGUUUUGAUCUAAAUUGCAACUUUUGGUUAAAAAAAAUAAGGCCUAGUAUUUUUGCCCAUAUCGUGGCAGUGUGGAACUGAUCUCAAAUGAGUGCAGGAAAUGCAGAAAUUGAUGGAAAUUAUUUUAGGUUGAACUUGAAUUGAACAGUAUAAAACAAUCCGAAUGGAGAAAGACACAUUGAAAUAAUUUAGUAUAUAUGUGUUGCCACCCUAGGGUCACACACUAUUCAUGAAGCAAACGUAGAACUUUUAUUAAUCAAAAACAUAAAAUUGCGUCAAAUACCCUCAUACGGUCCAAAAUUUGAAAAAUACCAUGAUAUGAUAUUUUGGCCAUAUCGCCCCGCCCUAGGUAAGGAGAGAAGUUUCCUCCUGCGCCCGGUGGAGACACCUGAUUGGAGGACUUAAUCACAUAUUACAACAGAGAGAGUGAUUCUACUGUCAAAUAAUUUUCCUGGCUGUGAUUUAUCUGCCCUGUCGUGUAGAGGACCCUCGUAAAUUGAGCUUUUUUAUUUAUGCAUUAUGGCCUGGGGACUAGGGAGAACAACUCAAGUGCGUGCCUUCACUAAUGUGCCACUGCAUUGUCAAAAAAAAAUGUGAGUUGGUGAUUACAUAAAGGAAAAAUAUUGCUUGUUCAAAGUAGUGGACUGGAAGCACAGGUAGCAAUCAAGACAUUUGUCUGGGUAUGUGGGUCUUUCUAUAAAUAAUGGGGCCAAUGUGUGACAUUGGUAUCUACAUUUUCUAAAAGGUUUGAAACAAAAAAUAAAUGUUUUUUAAAAAAAAAUGCAGUUCCACACUUAGAGGAAUAAUGGUGAAUGUGCAAAUUGCCCCAUAACUCCACCUAUACAACAAGCC